rnacentral:rRNA from 1 species
AUUGAACGCUAGCGGGAUGCUUUACACAUGCAAGUCGAACGAGUGGCGGACGGGUGAGUAAUAUAUCGGAACGUGCCCAGUAGCGGGGGAUAACUACUCGAAAGAGUGGCUAAUACCGCAUAAUAUUGAAGGGGCGGUUAUCGGAUUAGCUAGUUGGUGGGGUAAAGGCUCACCAAGGCAACGAUCCGUAGCUGGUUGGAGAGGACGACCAGCCACACUGGGACUGAGACACGGCCCAGACUCCUACGGGAGGCAGCAGUGGGGAAUUUUGGACAAUGGGGGAAACCCUGAUCCAGCCAUCCCGCGUGUAUGAGAAGGCCCUAGGGUUGUAAAGUACUUUCAGUCGGGAGGCGUUACCGACAGAAGAAGCACCGGCUAACUCCGUGCCAGCAGCCGCGGUAAUUC